UACGGAGGGUGCAAGCGUUAUCCGGAUUCACUGGGUUUAAAGGGUGCGUAGGUGGGCAGGUAAGUCAGUGGUGAAAUCUCCGAGCUUAACUCGGAAACUGCCGUUGAUACUAUUUGUCUUGAAUAUUGUGGAGGUAAGCGGAAUAUGUCAUGUAGCGGUGAAAUGCUUAGAUAUGACAUAGAACACCAAUUGCGAAGGCAGCUUACUACACAACGAUUGACGCUGAGGCACGAAAGCGUGGGGAGUCAAACAGG
rnacentral:rRNA from 1 species